rnacentral:tRNA from 1 species
GAGGGUAUAGCUCAGGUAGAGUGUGUGCCUAGCAUGUACCAGAUCUUGGGUUCAAUCCCUAGUACCUUCA